rnacentral:rRNA from 1 species
UUCGCAAUGCCCGAAAGGGUGACGAAGCGACGCCGCGUGUGGGAAGAAGGCUCUAGGGUUGUAAACCACUGUCAGGAGUUAAGAAAUAUAGAGACGUUAAUAGCGUUUCUAUUUGACUAAGGCUCCAGAGGAAGUCACGGCUAACUCUGCGCCAGCAGCCGCGGUAAUACAGAGGUGGCAAGCGUUGUUCGGUAUUAUUGGGCGUAAAGAGCACGUAGGUGGUUUUGUAAGUCAGGUGUGAAAGCCUUCUGUUCAAAGGAAGAACGGCAUCUGAAACUGCAGAUCUUGAGUGUAGGAGGGGAGAGUGGAACUUCUGGUGGAGCGGUGAAAUGCGUAGAUAUCAGAAGGAACGUCGGCGGCGAAAGCGACUCUCUGGCCUAUUACUGACACUGAGGUGCGAAAGUUAGGGGAGCAAACGGGAUUAGAUACCCCGGUAGUCCUAACCGUAAACGAUGGGCACUAAGUAGAGGGGUUUU